rnacentral:rRNA from 1 species
CAGCCUGAUGCAGCCAUGCCGCGUGUAUGAAGAAGGCCUUCGGGUUGUAAAGUACUUUCAGUUGUGAGGAAGGGUGUGUAGUUAAUAGCUGCSUAUCUUGACGUUAGCAACAGAAGAAGCACCGGCUAACUCCGUGCCAGCAGCCGCGGUAAU